AGGAAUCAUCCCAGUGACGCUGGCAGCUCUGGAGCCCUGGAUUCAGCUCCCACAGUAACUAUGGAGCUCUCCCUCUGCAGGACCUGGAGGUGCCAAGGCGGG
rfam:Canis lupus familiaris chromosome 6, whole genome shotgun sequence.